rnacentral:rRNA from 1 species
UACGUAGGGGGCAAGCGUUGUCCGGAAUCAUUGGGCGUAAAGAGCGUGUAGGCGGUCCAGUAAGUCCGCUGUGAAAGUCAAGGGCUCAACCCUUGAAAGCCGGUGGAUACUGCUGGACUAGAGUCCGGAAGAGGCGAGUGGAAUUCCUGGUGUAGCGGUGAAAUGCGCAGAUAUCAGGAGGAACACCGAUGGCGAAGGCAGCUCGCUGGGACGGUACUGACGCUGAGACGCGAAAGCGUGGGGAGCAAACAGG